rnacentral:rRNA from 1 species
UACAGAGGUCCCAAGCGUUAAUCGGAAUUACUGGGCGUAAAGCGUGCGCAGGCGGUGAUGUAAGACAGGUGUGAAAUCCCCGGGCUUAACCUGGGAACUGCAUUUGUGACUGCAUCGCUGGAGUGCGGCAGAGGGGGAUGGAAUUCCGCGUGUAGCAGUGAAAUGCGUAGAUAUGCGGAGGAACACCGAUGGCGAAGGCAAUCCCCUGGGCCUGCACUGACGCUCAUGCACGAAAGCGUGGGGAGCAAACAGG